GAUCCUGGCUCAGAUUGAACGCUGGCGGCAUGCUUUACACAUGCAAGUCGAACGGCAGCACGGGCUUCGGCCUGGUGGCGAGUGGCGAACGGGUGAGUAAUGCAUCGGAACGUACCCAUUUGUGGGGGAUAACUACGCGAAAGCGUGGCUAAUACCGCAUACGCCCUGAGGGGGAAAGCGGGGGAUUCUUCGGAACCUCGCGCGAAUGGAGCGGCCGAUAUCAGAUUAGCUAGUUGGUGGGGUAAAAGCUCACCAAGGCGACGAUCUGUAGCUGGUCUGAGAGGACGACCAGCCACACUGGAACUGAGACACGGUCCAGACUCCUACGGGAGGCAGCAGUGGGGAAUUUUGGACAAUGGGCGCAAGCCUGAUCCAGCAAUGCCGCGUGCAGGAUGAAGGCCUUCGGGUUGUAAACUGCUUUUGUACGGAACGAAACGGUUCUUUCUAAUAAAGAGAGCUAAUGACGGUACCGUAAGAAUAAGCACCGGCUAACUACGUG
rnacentral:rRNA from 1 species